ensembl:lncRNA
GCACAGGCCGACUUCUAUUUCUGGCAAGCUAAAGUCAAACAGAGGAAUUUCACCCAGGAUGAAUUCCUGCCCAAAUGUCGAUUUUAUUGGCUGUCUCCCAUGACAUUUCUUCAUGUUUUGCCACGGUGAAAAUAAAAAAAAGAUCAAGGUUAGUUUGGGAGCAUCAAAAUAAUGAAGAGACCCCCGUUCAUUUUGUCUUACUUUGCUAAAGAACCAAAUUUGAGGAAGUCUACAGCAGGGUGAAGUAAAAGGAUUGUCAGAAGUUUCCUUAGAGAAGGGCAGAGAAAAAGAGGAAGCAGUGGGAGAAGAUAAGCUCUGGAAAUCCAGUCUGGUUUGUGUGAGGAAAUCACCUUUUUCAAAUGGGAAGCGGAUCAGGAGAUGGAGGGAGAGGGAGAGAGGAGGAAAGGGGAUUGAGGAAAGGAAGGAAGAUGUGUAACUGCACCAGCUCUGUACAAGGAGUGUAAACAUCAUGUGCUGCAAAC